CCUACGGGGGGCUGCAGUCGAGAAUCAUUCACAAUGGGGGAAACCCUGAUGGUGCGACGCCGCGUGGGGGAAUGAAGGUCUUCGGAUUGUAAACCCCUGUCAUGUGGGAGCAAAUUAAAAAGAUAGUACCACACGAGGAAGAGACGACUAACUCUGUGCCAGCAGCCGCGGUAAUACAGAGGUCUCAAGCGUUGUUCGGAAUCACUGGGCGUAAAGCGUGCGUAGGCUGUUUCGUAAGUCGUGUGUGAAAGGCGCGGGCUCAACCCGCGGACGGCACAUGAUACUGCGAGACUAGAGUAAUGGAGGGGGAACCGGAAUUCUCGGUGUAGCAGUGAAAUGCGUAGAUAUCGAGAGGAACACUCGUGGCGAAGGCGGGUUCCUGGACAUUAACUGACGCUGAGGCACGAAGGCCAGGGGAGCGAAAGGGAUUAGAUACCCGAGUAGUC
rnacentral:rRNA from 1 species